UAUUCCACUAGUAAAACAUGUGCUAUCAUUGACACAAAAUGAGAAGAGAAUAAUAAGGCUUCACUGCUGCUUUAGAAGAGGGACAAUUGGGGGAAGAGUGUUGAACUUGAUUUAAUUCAUUUAACAAAGUGAAUAAAAUCAUCUCUAGUUCAUAUCCUCUGCAUGCAAUAAGUUAAUCCUAAAACAUGCAUAUAGGAUUGCUAAAUGGAUCCUGUUUUGGGUGGGGAGAGUACAUAGUGCAACAAUAUCACUACAUAAAAAAAAAUUAGAAAAAUAAGGAAAUACUUACAAACCUAAUUGUUCAACAACUGUCAAGAAAUGACCCCAACAAGUAUACCGCCACGGAACAAGACCGAAUCUGUUCACAUGUAUAUCAAGCAAUGCAACUACUAGCACUAGAAGUUGUGUAACCAAGAAAUAGAUCACAGUGGGAGAUCUCCAAGACUGGAUUCUGCAAAAGCAUAGCCAAAUGGACAAACUGUCAAAAUAUGCAGAGACUGAAGGAACAGAAGAAUUAAAGAAAACAAAAUAUAUCCUUACAUCAUAAAACCAAUUAGCUUGAGCCACCAAGCAUCUCCUACACUCUGUUUAUAGCCUCCAACAGCCCAUAUAACAAGAUAUGCAACUUGUGAAAGAAAAACAAGUAGGGAAAAGAUGAUAACAGGCCACAGUAACAAAUAUUUCCUCCUGAAACGAAAUCCUAUAAGAAAGUAAUCCCAUGUUACUUUAUAAGAAAUGAAAACAACUUCAAAUAAAACCAUUAAAAUAACAAUAAUCAGAAAAAGAAGUUAAACUUAUAAAAAAUGCAAGAAGUCAAGAAAUAUCAUAAACCCCUCUUCUAAUUUUCUUAUAGACUCGGGGUUAUGUAACAUUAAAGACUGCUGAAUUCUACAAUAAGCACUUAGCAAAGUUCAUUAGAUACGUACAGCAAAAUCUAAAGCACCAACAAGAUAAAAGUAGUAAGAAAAAACAAUGAACAACUGAGACCCUGCUGAAUUAUGGAAAAUUAGAACUACAGAACUGCAAAGAUAAAGCAAAAAUUUACCAGAAAAUCUUCAUCACUUACCUAUUUUAGGUGCAGUAUACUGAAUGAGAAGGAAAGCGAUCAAAUCAACAUGAGAGAUCAAACUCCAAUUGAGCAAUGAAGCUUCAAGAAAGACAGAACAGGUAAAAACUAUUAAUUAAUUGAUGGCAGAGCAUAUAUGUAUUUGUAUAUGCAUACACACAACAAAAAAAAUGCAGUUUCAAACAGUAACUCAUAAAAGAAUAAAUGAUCUCAACGUCAGUAGAGAAUUUUUCUUGCUGGGAGUCUUCUAUGUAGAGCAUUCUGUAAGUUAUCAAUUUACAGGUCUCUCAACUUAUAAAAUUUAAAAUUAACACUCUAUGGCACUCUGCUAAGACCGUGCCUCAAAGCUCAUUAACAAACCAACCUGUCCCUCACCAAAAAGAAUACCAAUGAAGUUUUCGCUUUUCAAGUGACUUUUAACUGCAAAAUCCCUUCUACCCUUCUCACCUUUCAGGUUCCAAAAUAACAAAGACUGGAUGAUGUCCUGUGUCACAAGCUAAUUUUAAACUAGGUUCAGGUACCCAGGAAUUAGAUUUUUACAGUCUCAAAAACUUGAAACUUACAAUUGAUACUGGUCUAGUUCAAGAAUGACCCCUCAAAGUGAAUUUUCCAAACAAUAUAUGAAAAGAACAGAAGGUUGCAUAUAAAUGCAAAGACUAGUGUUCCCAUCAUGAACUCAUGAGCAGUAAACAAAAUCCCUACUCUUAAACAGCAGCUUGGAUGAUAAAAAAAAAAGGGUCAUUUAGACUCUCCUCAACUUCCUAAGACACUCCCUUAUGGAAUUCGGAUUUGGUUAUUUCUCUAUGGGACAUAGCAUAGCUCAAAUUAUACAGAUAAACGCGAGCACUUUAAGACAUAGCUCAAACAAUGCAUAUGUAAAGUAGAUUCCAACAGACAACCAACACCACUAAAUGAAUUUCUAAUUAAAAAAAAAGGGGGGGGAAUGAAGCAAAAAAGAAAGAAACCCGGAGUCUUUAUAUAAAUUUAUAAGGGAUGAAAUUAAAAGUAAAGAGUAUUAAGAAACAAAGCAUACCUGUAAGAAGCAGCAAAGGCAAAGCAAACCCAGUUAGAAAACUCCCCAUGAGAUUAGCACUUGAAUUCCACCAAAAAAACCAGAUCGAUUCACAGCAAAAACACAGAAUACGUUAAUGGGUUUUCGUUUUCCAUUAAAAUCAACAAAAACCCAUUUCACAUCAAAUCAAAAAUUUCCUCCUAAGCAAACGAAACGAGGAAAUUUUUGACUUGAAAACCCCAAGAAUGGAAGUUCGGGUCACGUGUUUUUCAGCAAAAGAGGGAAUAAAUUAAUAAAAAUAAAAACGAAAUUAGCUAUGGGUUUUACUAAGUACAAAACCAAAUUCGUCAAAAUCUGAUGUCCUGAAAUAUGUAUUAAGGAAUUAAAAUAACAGCAAGGUUGAUUUUAUAUUAUGAACAUAAAAAAUGAUUUUUUUAUAUAAGGAAAAUAUGGCUUUACCUGAUAUUCUAGAAUAUUAUAUAACUCAAGAUAUUUUUUUUACCCGCGCAAUGCUGCGAAGGGAAAUAUCUUUCUAGCAUAUUCAUUGAUUUAUUUAUUUAUUUUGGUACAUAUAAUUAGAGUCAAAAUUUUUAAAAUUCCAUGGGUGAUUGAAUCAAUUAUAUCACCAGUUUAUUUAAUUAAAUUAAAUAAAUUAUUAAAAAUUUAUAAAAUAUUAAAAAUUUGGUUUGUGUUUGAAUUAAUUGAUUUAUAUCAAUUUCUAAAUCUAUUGAUCUAAUUACUUUUUUGAAUUGGUAUCCUAAUUGAUUCUCGAUUCGAUCAAUUAAUUUAUCUAAUUUGAUUUAAAUAAUCUCAAUAAAGCUAAAUGAAUAUAAAAUUUAGAGGAUAAAUAAAAAUGAUAAAUAUUGUAUAUGUAUAAAUGAAGGAUUAAAAAAAUCAAGCAAUGAAAUAUGAAAAUAUUUAUUUCAAUAUUUUUUUAAGAAAUAAAAAAUUAAAGUGUUGUUUUUGAUAAAAAAGGUUAUCAAAAUAAAAAUGGAAAGAAAAAAUUUUCAAAUAUUUAAGAGUUUAAUAAUAUUUUUUCAAAAGAAAAAAUUGAGGGUUUAAUUAAAAUUUUGUGAGAUUAAUGAGAAAUUCAAAAAAAAAUUAGAAGAGCUUAAUUAAAAAUUUCAAAUAAAUUAAAAUACAUAACGAAAAUUUUCAAUACAAAAAUAAAAAUAAAAAUUUUCAAAAAAUUAGGAGAUCAAAGCUCCCUUAGCCUCCAUUACGAUCCGCCACCGCCUUUAUGGUUCAUCAGUUCACUAUUUGAAAGAGUAAGAUAUAUGAUGUGCUUAUUAAGUUCAACUGAACACUUAUAUUAUAAUCAUUUAUCAAUGGUUACAAAUAUUGAAAAUCAAGACCAAUUAACCAUAUUGAACUAAGAUUUUUCGGGCUUCAUUAAGUUGACAUUUUUGAUCAUUCUUUCUUUUGUUUUCUUGAUAUAUUUAUCGGAUAUUUCAUUGAUAUUCAACCCCAAACCUGUAAGCACUAGUCUCGAAUCAUCAGGUCGGACUGGUGUUGUCGGUUUCGCCAUGGCAAAUUCAUUGCCUGCCUCCCCACUGGCUACAGGGACGAUGAUCUUUGGGUGGCCUAUACCAGUUCGCAAUGAAUUCUCCUUCUUACCCGAGGGGUCAGGGACCGACAAACCGAACUUGUCAACGGUAGGCUGAUCAUCCAACUCUUCUGUUUGCUUAAACAAAAUCUUAACUGUAGGAUCUGAACCAUCAUCCUUGGCUUGGCUUGCAAGUGGUUCUUGUACUUCAUUGCUAGCAAAUUCACCUAGUGACCCUUUACCAGUUGAGCCCUGAGUCAUGAUGUGACCCAAGGUUAACCAUUUCGAGCCUUUACGAAUGAAGUUGAAGAGCCUAUGGCAAAUGCCAAAUGGCUGAUCAUCCUUUCCCUUCUGCUCCAUUGCCUUGGCUGAAAAUAAGUGGAAAAGAAUCGCUAUUUGAAUGAUUCGAAACUUGGAGCUCAAAAAAAUGAAGAAAGAAAGAGUGAGAUUUUCCAUGGAAGGGAGGGAUAUAAUUUAAUGGAUUCUUGGAAUAAGGGAGGAAUUUGUACUUUCCUUUAAGUCAAAUUUUAUUCCAAAACAGCAACAAGAAACAUCGAGGGGAAUUGGUGAUUGGUGAAUGUAGUUGAUGGAGAGAUUAAGAUACCAUGUGAACUGAAGUUUCUUCUUUUUUUUUUAUUAGCAAAUAUGCUUUGUGAAAUUACUAGGAGAUAAGAUAUUCUUUCUACACUUGAUGUAAACAUAUCUAUGGAAUAAAGUUAGAUGGAGACUUUUGACAUAUGUGCAUGAGUCUCGUGCAUAUUCAAUAAACAAUGACAUGUCAUCAGUGAAAUAAAAGAAAUAGUGAAAAUUUAUAAAUAAAUAUUAAUAACUUCAUUCUAAAAUAAAUCUAAAACUCUAAAAUUAUCAUAAACCUUAAAUCUUAAACUAUAAAAUCUAAACUAAAAACCUUAGAAAAAAAAUAAUUAUAAUUAAUAUUUAUUUUUAUUUAAAUAAUUAUUAUUAUCUCCACUAUUUUAUUAUGCACACCGAUAAUGUAUAAAAUCUAUACACAUUAAAUAUAAUUCAUAUAUAUUAUUAAUGCAAUUUAAGAAUCUUCCACUGGCACUUCAAUUAGAAUAUGCAUAAAUUGUUCUUCACAUGCAUGUGUGUGUGUGUGAAUGGCUAUUUAUAAAGAAAGAAAAAGCAUAAAUUCCUAAGGGGCAGCAUUAAGGGAAACUAAUGGGUGUCUGUUUCACAUGAAAAGAGAAUAUCAACUUUCAUCUACAACUUUGGGAACCCUUUCCUAAUGAAAGAAAAUCAUAACAUAAAAAUAAGUGAAGGGAUUGGAUACGGUGAGGUUUUCUGAUUUGGUGUUUUUUGUGGUAUCAUCAAUUUUAAUACCCAAAAUCUAGAAGUAUAAUUAAUUGAACUCUUUUGAUUGAUUUGGUAGUUAAGGGUUGCUCACUUAGAGAACUCACUCGAGUUUAAAUUUGUGGAGGGGUAAUGGAAGGCCUUUAUAUGGCCAGCUCUUUUAGGAUGUUGUGUGUGCGUGUGUAGCGUAACAGCUUUUAAAAUUGGCAUAAUGAUAACUUUAAUUCUCAACGUUUAUAUAUAUGCCAAUUUAUUUAGUCUUGAUUCUAAAAUAUCUAACCCUUAACAUUUACAUAUUGUAUAAUUUGGUCUUUUUUGCUUUUUAUAAUUGGGUAACCAUUUUAUAAUUUUUUAUAAUUGGGUGACAAAAAAUAAAUUUACUAAGUUGGGUGACUACAAUGUGGUUUACCCUUAUAAAAUUUACAUUUGUCUAACCAACAAAUUGCAUUACUUAAUUUAGGGUUGAGUAAAGAAAUUGAGAAAGCCAAAAUUUGAUUUGAACCAUUGCAUUUUAUUCGCUUUGAUUUGGUUUCAGAUUGAUGUUAUCACUCAUAUCUCACAAUUCAAUUUGGGUUCAAUUUUUCCGCAUGAAACUCACUUUAUUCAAAUCAAACCGAAUGAAAAGAAAACCAUAUUUAAACAAAUAGUCGUGAUAGACUAACAGAUAGAUUAUUAAUAUCUACAUGGCUAAUUCAUUUCACCUAAUUAUUAUUAUAUUGUUAAAAAAAACUAAAUAUAAUCAUACAAAAAGUUAAAGUUGUUUAAAUGUUUCAAACAAAAAGUUUAUAUAUAUUAAUGUAAGUGGAUCAUUUAUUGAAUAUGAUAGUUAUAUUUAUAAGCACAAUUAUAAUUUUAGUAAAUUACUUUAUAAAACUUUUAUAAUAAUUUAUUCAUAAAAGAAAUUGUUCACAAAUUGUCAACCGUGUAUGUUUGAUCGUUAUGAAUUUAAUUGAUUAUAUGAUAUAUUGCAAUGACUCAAUUAUAAAUAAUUGAAGCCAGCAACUAAUGAAAUUAAUUAAAAAACGAUACAAUAAACAUUAGGUAUAUGAAUGAUUUAUAUGUUUCUUUUUAACAACUUUGAAUGAUUUAUCAACUUAAUAGCUUAACUUAAAAUGACUUUUUUAAGUGAGGAUAAAUAUAAAAAAGAGUACACAUGAACUUUCAUCCAAUGAAUAAUAUGAUAUAUGAAUUUUGAUUUUGUACGGUUAUACACAUGAAACUUUGAUCGAGGAUCAAUUUUAUUCAUAGAACUUUGAUUUUCAUUCAAUUAGUAAGUAUUUAAAUAAAUAGAUACAAUAAUUUAUUUAUAUUAGAAAAGUAUAAUCAUCUCUGCAUGUAAUGUGUAAACGUAAAAUGUAUUAUAUCAGUAAUGAUGUUAAUGGUUCGUGAAAAUUGAAUCAAAUUAAAAUGUCAUAUGUAAAAUUGCACAAAAUCAAAGUUCAUAUAUAACAUUGCACAUUAGACUCAAGUUCAUGUGCAGUUUUGAUAUUCAUCCCUUUUAAAUAGUAUUUGCAAAUUGAUUAUGAUGUUAAUUUAAUUAUUUAAUUCACUUUAUAAAUGAAUGUAAAGUAUGUAUUAUGAUGGUUAAGAAAAAAUUAAGAAUUGCAAUAUUAGGUUUUUUGGGCCCAAAAACAAUGUGGUUGUUUUUUUCACAAGCAUUGUCCAAAUUUGCCAAAGAAUUGCUAAAUCGAAUCACAAUUAUCGAUUUCAAAUAUUUUGAUUUUUACUCAACACAUUCGAUUUUAAAGGUCGAAAAUCAAAUGAAGCAGUUCAGUUCAAUUUUUGUCUAAUAAAUAUUGUAUCAAACUGAAUCAAAUACACCACUAAUCUAGUUGAUGCCUAGUUCAGGAAUAGGUUGUGCUAUAUGUGAUUUAACUAGACAAGGUAAUGUAAGAAUAACUCACAAUGAUCCAAACAAGUAAAUAAAGAUGACUCAGACUUGAAGUUACCAAACCCAUAAUGACUCGAUAUGAAAACAAAACUCAAAACCUCAAAUUUGAAUAACCUAAGCCCAAAAUACUCGAGAUGCGAAGUCAAAUCAAACCUAAUACAAACCCAAAAUCAACUCAACCCGAAAUGUUCUAAAAAUUUUAAAAUUUUAUUUGACCUGACCUAGAUGGACUAAUUCAAAAUCAAUCUGACCCAUACAAUCAGAAGUUAUACUUAUCAUCUAUUGUCGAUAUGAACAUUUAUAAGCAGAGCAAAUAUCUACUAAAAUAUUUCUAAAAAAUGUAAAAUUAUAAAUUAAUGUAACGAUAAGAUUACACCGUUACUCUCAAAAAGGAAUUUCUAACUUCAUCCUUAAUCAUCUCAUACCCUUGAAGUUGAUAUCAAAAGUAUUAAAUAAUCAAAGCAUUCCACAGCUUGGUGAUAAGGGUUUGAUUGGAAUCAAUUUUGGAGAAUUUUUUUUGCUACCCUAUGUUUUUUAAAACUUAAACUAAAAUCAAAUCGAAAUUUAAAAAUUAUUUGAUAAACCAUAAAACAAAACUCUUAUUGUAAAGUAUGUAAAAAACAAAACAGAAAAUUAAUAUAAAAAGCAAAAACUGAAUUCAAUCGAAUCAAAUUAUUACGGAUAGUUUGAAAUUUUUAUAAUCCAAUUAAAGUAAAAAUCAAUGGUGACCAACCAGCUGGAAAUUUUUGUAUUUGGUUGAUUUGCAAGUAAAAGUUUUAAGGUUAAAGUUAAAAUUUCGUGUUAAAAUUAUUUAACUGAAUUAUUAAUUUUUACAAAAGAUCGAAAGUACAAUUUCACAUUUACUCAAGUAUUUAAAAUGGAUUAUGUAACAUCCUCAAAACCCUAUUGGUCGUAAAUAAUAUGAGAUAAAAUCUUACGAAAAUAAGGUAUAAGAUCAAAGAAAAUGAAAGUUGCAAUAUAUCAAAAGAGAGUUAAAUCAAGAAGCAUGACACGAUGUAUUAAGGAAGUGACUAAAUCGUAAAUAUGUGAAAAGCUUUUGGCUCAAGUGUAAAUAUUCAAAAUUUAAGGGAUUGAAAUGUAAUAAUGGGAAAUUUGAAGGACCAAAAGUGAAAAUAAUCCAAUUUACUAAUAUAUGGAUUGGCAUGCAUGGACCAAAUUGAAUAGGUGAAGAAUUGUGAGGGUCUAAAUUACAAUUUUACUAAAUUAAGUGAUAAUUCAAUGAUGGAAUUUUGAAAGAUCAUAAAUAGUAAAAUUGUCAAUUAGCAAGAGGGAGAAUUAUAGAAUAUAAUGAUGAUGUUGAUGAUAUUUUGGUGAUUUUUUUAAUUAAUUAGUUAAAUAUUAUUUUAUUAAUAUUUUACUUAGAUAUUUAUUAUUAUUUUAUUUAGAAAAUGGUAGUAUAAAAAAAAAGGAAGGAUGAAAGAAAUUUAUCAUCCGUCCAACGUGAGUGAAAGGGUAAGAAAGAAUGUUUUCUUUUCUUUACAAUUUAGUCCUUUGUCAUGAAAACCUACAUUUUUACCCAAAAUCUUUAAAAAUUUCUUUAGAUAUUAAAGAGAGAAGAUGAAAUAGAGAUUUUAGAGAAUAUGCCCAUCAAUUUAGAAUCAAGAAAAUAGUAGAUGAAAGUGGAGAAAAUGAGAAAAAAAAAAGGAAGGAAAGCGGUGAAGAUGAGAAAUGCAUGGAAAUGAAGAAAUUCUUUACAAAAGAGGUAAGUUUCAUACUAAACCUAUUUGUAUUUCAAUAGAUUGAGUUAAAGAUAUUUUGAGUAAGAUGUAUGAAACAUGUAUUUAAUCUAAAUACUAGAAAUAGAAAGUAUUUUGAUGAAGAACAAAUACUUCAAACACUAAAUUGGUAAGAGAGAAUAUGAUUUGUAUGGUGAAAAGUACUAAUAUUAAGAAAUGAAUAUGUAAUCUACACAUAAACAUAAGUAACUAAAUUGUAUAGUAAUCAAAAGUAUGGCAAUAAUGUGUGAUUGAAUGAAAGAUGGUGCAAAGGACCUUGAAAAAGAAAAUAUUUUCAUUAAAACAGUUUGGACAAUAGCAGUGACUUAAUUUUGAAAAUUCACCUAAAAUUUUAGAAAUUUAGUUAGAGAUUUAAUUAAAUAUGGAAUUAAAGCUUAUUGAGUAUAGUUUCAUAUGGAAGAAACGGUGAAAGAAAUUAGACUUUAUAGUUUGAGAUAUAUUAAUUUUUGUGAAACAAGGUUGGAGUGGAUUCGGGUUCUCCUGUUCUAAAUUUGGAAAAUCAUAAAAAAUUGUAAAAAAAAAUGAUUAUGAGUUUAAAUUUAUAUGUUUAAAUUAUUAAUGAGUCUAUUUUCAAUAGAAACAAACGAAAAAAUCAUCCAAACCUCGUACUAAGAAAUAAUUAAUUUUUAGUAAAGAAAUAUCGAAGUUGUCAAGCAACAGAAUAGGGACAAAUUUGAAUAAUUUACCGUACUGAUUGGCUAAAUUAUAAAUUCUGAAAUUUUUAUGGUAAAAAUAUAUUCGAGUCUAGUUUCAAAAAUAUCAAUUGGAUCUUAAUUUCAAAUUCUGUAACUCAAGACAUAAAUAAUUUAGUGACUAUGACUUAAGUGGACAGCUUUGAUAUGAACAUAUAAGUAAAUAGUGGAAUUAUGGACAAUGUUACAUAUAAGCAUGUUAUAUACUAAAAGCUAAAGAUUCUAAUAAAUAUAUACAUAAAAGAUGUGGAAUGGAGAGGAAGAUGAGGGAAAAAAUAUAUAUGAUUAUAUAUAUAGUAGAUGAAUUUGAAAUGUUUCGAAAUGGUUGUAAAUGAUGAAAUGAUUAAUACAUGUGAAUAUGUUUAAACGAAUUGAUAAAAUAACAAGUGAAUAAUUGUUAAUUGAUGUGAUAUUGAAUUCUUAUUAAAAUUUUAUGAAGAAUUAAAUUGAUUGCCACAAUUUAGAAAUAAAUAUGAAAUAUACAUAAAUUGGGUAAACUACUUUGAAAGUGCAAGUCCUCCAAUGGUCUUAUUUGUAAAACUUUGAUAUUUGUCUUAAUUUUAUAAACUUUGUUAUCUUUAAUCGAAUAUCAUGUUUUUAUGAGGACUUGGGAUUAGAAAUAGAUAUCAAUGGAUGAUAUGUAAAAUGAAGUGGCAGUUAUGAUAUCUAAAUACGGUUCAUGUAAUGAUAUAAAAAAAUAAAUAAAUAAAAAUAAAGCAUGGAACUUGUAGGAAAAUGGAGAUUAUGUUAUGAUGACAAGUUUGCUAUGUCAUGACGUGAAAACCCCAAUGUGGCGACGACAAUUCAAAAUUUUUUAUGAACUAUACAAUUUGGCAUUUGAUCAAUUGUAGACGUUUUAAUGAGCUCAUUUAACUUAUAAUUAUUUUUUUCGUAAAUUUAAUUAUUAUUGAAAUGAGUUAAUGAUCUAUAUUAAUUAAAUAAUAUGAUACAUUGAUUUGAAAUUUUCAGUAGUUGCUUCGGUAACGAAUGUAACAUCCUGAUGCCUUGACUCGCCAACCAGGUCGAGUAUGGGGUUGUUACAGAUUAAAUUAAAAUAUUAUAUUUUAAUUUAUAACUUACACAUAGAUCUGUUCGUGGAUCGGGUCACUUGACCCAAUAAGUGGGAAGGUUUGAUUAAAAAUAUAUGCUCGAAAAAUGGGCUUGAACAAAAAAAUAAGACUUGUUUAAAAAAUGGGCCAAGCUUCAGAUAAUGCUUUUUUUGACCCGAGCCCAGCCCAAUCCGACAUAAUUAGAAAAAAAAAGACAAAAAAAGCUAUUUUGAUGCUAUUUUUUAUUAUUAUUUUCUCACUAUUUUACUAUUAUUUUACUAUUAUGUUACUACUAUUUUGUUGUUAUUGUUUGAAUAUUGUAUAACUCUUAUUUUGUUAUUAAUUUUGUUACUAUUUUAGAGGCAUUUGAUUGUUAAGUUACACAUAUCUUAGUGUUAUUUAAGUAUAAAUAUUUUUUUAAUUUGUUGGAAAAUAUUUAUUUUAUUUUAUAAGUAUUUUUUAUGUAUUGUAUUUUAUUUUUUUAUAUAAAAAUUUUAAUUUGGCCGAGUUGAGCUUGGGCUAAAUUUUAGGCCAAUUUUUUAGGUUGGGCCCGGGCCGAACAAAUAGGCCUAAAAUUUUGACAAUGUUCAACCCGAUCCAUUGACAAAUCUACUCAUAUAUAAUAUAUGGACUAAAUUCAUAACUUACAUAUAGUAUAGGGUCUAAUAAUAACUUAAUUUAUAAAAAAAUAACUUUAUAAAGUUAUGAUAAAAAAACUAUAAUAUUUUUAAAUGAAUAAGUAUGUUAUUUUUAUAAUGUAAAGCAUAGACACGUAGAUAAGUUAUGUCUAUAUUUCUUCGUCAUAACUUUUUAUAAAUAUAUAUAUAACCCUUUCAUAACAUGUAAAUUAUUGUUUUAUAAUAAACUUUUGAUCAUAAUUUUAGAAUUAUUUUAGGAUUUUAAAAAAUAUUUUUUAUUAUAACUUUAUAAAAUACACAAUUUUUUUUACAAUAUAAUUUUUUAAGGUUUAUAAUAUAAGAAAAUUUUGGCCAUAACUAAUCCAAGUACUCAUUCAUGUUUAUAAUAUAAUUUCUAUAACUUGUAUAAAAAUAAUUUUUAAAAAUUUAUUUAAGUGUAAUUAACUGCGUAAUUAUUCUAAUUCUCACCAUCCCCCUUAACAAUUGAAAAGUUUAGUUGGGGUGCUCCAAUUUCACCCAAUGCAGUGGGACUCAUCAAUUAUAAUGGUUACACAAACACGUCAUCCUUGUGUAAUUACUAACAAUUACACUUAAAUCUAAUUAUUAGAUGCAUUUCCAAACACUGCCUAAACGAUAGGCAACUUAAGCAAACUUACUUUGAAUAUAAUAUUUAUUUGGAUAAAUAUCUUAUUUUCGUAUCUAAGUUUGGCUUCAAUGUUCAAUUUGAUAAAUGAGUUUUUUUUUUCUCAAUUUGGUACUUGAGUUUAGCUUUAAUAUUUACUUUGGUACUCGAGUUUUUUCAAUUUGAUAUUUGAGUUUUUUUUUGUUCAGUUUAAGUAUCUAAAUUCAGCGUUUAAUUUGGUACGUGAGUCUUUUUUUGGUCCCGAUUAAGUAUCUGUGUUCUUUUUAGCAUAAAACACAUGUCAAUCAUUCAUUGGGCUAUAUUAUAUCAUUUGGCAUAGGUACCAAAUUGAAUAUUGAAGCCAAAUUUAGAUAUCAAGUUAGGAAAAAAAAACUUAGGUACCAAAUUGAACAUUAAAACCAAUCUCAUAUAUUGAAUGAUAUAUUAAUAGUAUUUUUUAAACAUAAUAUUUUAUUUAUAUUAUUUUAUUGACAUAUAUUCGCAAGUGUCUUCAUCUGUUUUACAAUUUAAAUCUAAUCUUAUUCGAGAAAAAAUAAUAUUCAGGUAAAACACUCCUUACAUGACUACUCCAGAAUUUUAUUUAUAUUAUUCAUUCAUUAUUAAAUAAUAAUGUUGCACCAUGAAAUUUGAUAGAUAUUAUUAUUUUUAUGCACGUAUAAGUAUAGAUAAAAGAGUUAUUUUAUAUUGUGGUUGUAAAAUUUUAAAACUUUGAAACUCAUGUGAUGGCUUGAUGGCCAAGAGUGUUCACCGCCUCAGGUGUGACCUGAAUUCGAGUCGCACUAGUCACAUUGGUUGUUUGGGAUAUGCCCUGUUAUUGUAAUUCACCAAAAAUAAAUUAAAACUCUACAAAUAUAAAAAGAGAUGUAAUAAAUAAAAAUAAAAAUUAAUUAUAUAAAAAGGAUAUUUAUCAAAUUUUUAAUUAAAUAUUUAUAUGUAAUAUAAUUACAAUAUUAUUAUUUUAAAAAUUUUAUGAAAAUAUAAACAAAUUAUAUAUUUGGAUGACAUCAUCAUUUGCACAUCAUAUUAUAUUAACAUGAAUUUUUAUUAGAAAUAAACGUUACAUACGGAUUAAAUUUUAACUCGAUUAAUAUUAGUAUUGUUGUCAGUGUAGAAAAAUGAGCGUUCGAGCAUGCUGGAGCAUGUUUAUACUACUAUUUAAUGAUUGAGAUGAAUUAUAGGUCGUUUUAAAUAAUCUUAUCUAGGUAUAAAAUAUAAAAAACUUAGGAGUAUUAUUUUAUAACUACUGAAAUGACUAGAAUACCCCAUUAAAGGAACAACAGUCUUCGGGUCAGUUCUGCAUUACUUUUCAAAAGCACUUCUGGAAGAAAAGUUGUGCAGAAUAAGUUGCUUUUGGCUGAAAUUUUUAGCUUUUCAGAAGUGCUUUUGAAAAGCACUUCUGAAAAAGAGAAAAUAAAAUUUUUAGCUUUUCCUCUCCCCAAAACACUUUUAGUGCUUAAUUACUUUUUCACCCCUCCAAUAACAUAGUACUUCCCCCUUUUUUUUCUUGGUAAUUAAUUGCAAAUGUGUUAAAAUCAUUAAUUAAAAAUAAAAAAUAUUUUUUAAAAUACUAAUUACAAAUAUUUAAUAGUUAUAUUUAAAUAUUUAAAAUAUAAUUUAUAUAUUCUAAUUAAAUUUUAUAAAUAAUUAAUAUUUAUUGCUUAAAAAUAUUUAAAAUUUAUAUUUUAUAUAUUAAAAUAUUAACAAGAAGUUAUAAUAAUUUUUAUAUAUUAUUACUAAAAUAUAAUAAUAUUAACUAAUUUAAAUAUUAUUUAAAUGCAUAUUUGUUACUUGAUAAUAACAUGUCUAAAAUGGACAUUUUAUUUCUUAAAAGCACUUUUUGACAGUAAUACUAAACACUUAAAUUUUAAAUCAAAUUUUUCAAAAGUACUUUUUUACAGUACUUUUCAAAAGCACUGUCAAACUAAUUAUUCUUUAAAAAAGCUAGUGGCGUGGAAGCCCAUAAACAAAGCGGCUCACCAGUCACUAUAGCUUUACCUCUAGUAAAAGAAAAAAAAAGAAAAAAAGUAAUUUAAUUUCAAUUAUUAAAAUAAAAUUUAAUAUCUUAAAUAAUAAUUAGAUUAAAUCAUAAAAACUCAAAAUUUAAUAUAGAUUAAUUUGAUAUUCUCAGUAAUUUUUUUUAAAAUAUAUAUAUUUAGUUUAAAAGUUAAACGUUUCUUGUUAAUUGUAUUAAUAAUUUAAUAAAAUUUACCUUUUAAAUAUAAAAUAUUAUGACAUAUUAAUAUUUUUUUCCAGUGUUAAAAUAAUUAAAAAAAAGUCAAUGAAGCUUUAACAAAGUUGACAAAGAUAGGGUAGAGGUGUGUAUGGGCCGGGCCGGGCUCAACUAAAAUUUUAGGUCCGUUUGCUAGGCCCGAAUCUGGCCCAAAAAAUGAGCCUAAAAUUUUACUAAAGCCCGACUUGGAUAAAUAUGUUAAAACCUAGGUCCGACUCGGCCCGCCCAUAUUAAUUUUUAUAUUAUUUUUAUAUAAUUUUAAAAAACAUAUAAUACAUCAAAAAUAUUAAAAAUAUCAAAAUAAAUAUUUCUCAAGAAAUUGAAAAUAAAUUUUAAAAAAUAUAUAUAUUUAAAUAAUAACAAAAUUAACAUAUGUUUUUAAAAUAAUAAUAAUAAAAUAGUAACAACAUAAUAAUAAAAUGGUAGUAAAAUAGAGUAUUAAAAAUAGAUUUUUUUUUCAAUUAGUGACUUCUGGCCGGGCCGGGCCUCGGGGGUAAAAAAUGCCUUACCAAGGCCUGGCCCGUCUUUUAAACUGGCCUUAUUUUUCUAUUCAAAUCUAUUUUUCGGGCCUAUAUUUUUUGUCUAAACCCUCCCACAUUUUGGGCGGGCCUUUGAGUCGGGCCGGUGGCCCGACCCAUGAACAAGUCUAAGACAGAGACUUUGAACCUUGAAAAAUCGAGUUUUAGUCCCAUUAUUUGCAAUUACAAUGGUUGGGUUCUCUCUCUUACUUUGUGUGGAUUUUAUCCCGUUUUUUCCAAAUUAGUCUGGCUUUUGUUUGAUUCUUUUUUCAUUACUUAACAUCAUAGUUAAUUAAACAUAUAUUUGUAUUUGUCUUAUACUUUUCUUGUAUUGUAUUCUAGUGAAACUUAAAAAAAAAAUAAAAAAUUUUAAAAAUUGAACUUAAAAAUGAAAAUGUAUGUUUCGAAAUAAAUCUCAAAACUUUACAUAAAUUUAAUGUAUAAUUUUAUAUGUGAAUUUUAUUAUGGUACAAUUAUACACAUAGAACUAUGAUUGUCGAACUUUUAUUUUGAUUCAAUGAUAUAUAUUCAAAGAAAUAGAUAUAUCAAUUUAUUUUUAUAUUAGAUAAAUAUAAUUAUUUACAUAUAUAAUAUAUAAACAUAUAAUUGUGUUAUAUUAAUAAUUAUGUUAAUAAUUUGUGAGAAUUGGAUCAAAUUAAAAUUUCACACAUUAAACCAAAGUUAAUGUAUAAUUUUGAGAUUUAACUCAAACAUUAAAUCAUAAUAAAAAGACUAAAUUCAUAAAAAAAUAAUUUAUAGGGACCUUUUAUAAAAUUUUACCUAAUAAUUAUAUUACGUAUGCCAAUAAAGUCAUCAUCUUCGAUGAAGCUUAGUAAAUUCAGUCUCAGAUUAACAGAAAAAAGAAAAAAAAACCCAUAAAAUUCCUCAAAGAAAACCCUCUCUUCCCGCGAAAAUCCUUCUCAAUUUAACAAGAGAAGGAAGUUUUUAAAGCCUUUUGCAAUAAAAUUUUGUUGGAAAGGGCUCAUGGGAAGGGUUCUACAUGAAACACCGAAUCCACCAUUGUCGUCGUCGACGGAAGGCGCCACCACGUCGUCGACGUCGGUGAUGAAGACGUUGAACGGGUCUCACCACUUCAAGAUCACGGGGUACUCGCAAUCAAAAGGUAUGGGGGUCGGAAAAUACAUAGCUUCUGAUAUGUUCAUGGUGGGUGGGUAUUUGUGGGCGGUCUAUUUUUACCCCGACGGUAAGAGCCCCGAAGAUAAUACCGCGUACGUUUCGUUGUUCAUUGCUUUAGCGAGCGAAGGGACGGACGUUAGGGCGCUUUUUGAGCUCACCCUUUUGGAUCAGAGUGGGAAACAGAGGCAUAAGGUGCAUAGCCAUUUUGGAAGGACGCUUGAAAGCGGUCCUUAUACUCUUAAGUAUCGUGGCAGCAUGUGGUAAGGGUUUUAUUUUGCAAUUUCAAUUGGAAUUACAGGGUGGGUUUUUGGGUUUUACGAUGAAUUUUCUUUAGUUGAUUGAAGUUUUGGUGGGUUUAAUCUUUAUUCUUCUUUUGUGACUUUUAUUGGGGUUUUAAUUAUCUUGCAAGAUAGUAAGAACUGCAUAAUGGGUUGUUCUGGUUCUUGUGCUUGUAAUCUUCAGGUUCACUUUGUUGUUUAAGGCUAGAGUCUAGAUCCUCUUCUCUUUUUUUUUACAUUUAUUGAGCAUUAGCCUUUAUGUUGGUUCUUAGGUGGCUAGGAUGUUUGCAUAACAAGUUUGUUGCCUAUGAAAUAGCAAUAUAAUUGCGGGAAAUUUUGGAGGAAUAAAUUAGCUUCAUUCCUGUGACAUACUUUUUUUAUAUAUGAAAAGUAUUUGGGGUAGUUGACAAGAAUAUAAUUUCACAUGAAUUAUGCUAAAAUUGGCUAUUGCACUAGAUUUUGUUAGCCACUAAGGCUGACCUUAAUUGCUAUUAUUAUUAGCAUUACUUUUUUGGUCAUUCUUUCCUUCUCCUAAUCUUAUUAAGAUUCCAUGACUUGUGAAUUUCGAUUUAUUUUGAAAUACAUGUAAUAUAUUGAGUAGAGAUUGUGGGGAUUAGUGAGAAUAAAGCGAAGUUAAUUCAGUCAUAUGUCUGCUUUUAUAUAUAUAUAUAUAAAAACAUGUGUUCUUGUCCGUUUUUUGGUUUGAGACUAGUCAUGUUUGGACCAGGGUGGUAUUCAAGUAAAACCUACCUAAUAGUGAUGGCUCCAGGACUUGAACUCAGUCCAAAUGCUUGGGCAAGAAGUCUACUCCACUUCUUCCAACCAUGCUUUUUUUAUUUUGAGUUUAGCAUGUCUAUAAAAAUUACUUCUUAUUAAAGUGUUCUGUUAAAUUUGAAGGAUUUCAGUUAUUUUUUUUAAAAUUUUUUGCAUAUUGCCUCCUGUUACUGUUUGUGUAGACAUGUUUUUCUUCAAAGCUACACUCUGGUUUCUUUUAUGCUCCAUCUCGAUCCAUACAGUUCAAACUUACUGCAGCUUGUUUAAUUUGGCAUCUUAGUAAAGCAUUUGGUUGCAAUCAAGUAUACAUUGUUGACCAAGACAUAUGCAACAACAUUAUUGCUAGCCUAAUCGAACAAUUCUAUAGUAUUGAUUACUUUACUUUUUUGAUUGUUCAUGAUGUCUGACCUUUACUAACUGGAUGAUAAAUGUUAUUAAGACAUAUGUGGGUUGCGUUAUAUCAGAUUUCAGUCUUAGCCUCUUGGCCUGUAGGUUCUUAGCACCCAAUUCCUGUAGGGGUAUUUGCCAAGUUCCGAGGUUUGGCUCCUCUUGUCUUCCCCCUGAAAUGAACAAAAAGAAGAAGCAUAUUUUAUUUAUUUCCCUCAUUUCUCUUGGUAUAUGAUAACCUUUGGUGAGUAAAGAAGUAAUUAGUUUGAUUUGCUGCAGGGGAUAUAAACGGUUUUUUAGAAGAACUCUUCUUGAGCAGUCAGACUACCUCAAAAACGAUUGCCUCUCUGUUCAUUGUAGUGUCGGAGUUGUUACGUCACAUACAGAAGGUCCUAAGUUCUACUCCAUAGCUGUUCCGCCUUCAAGAAUUGGUCAUCAUUUUGGACAAUUACUAAAAACUGGAAAGGGAACUGAUGUUAGCUUUGAAGUUGAUGGGGAAGUCUUUUAUGCCCACAAGUUGGUACUUGCUGCACGUUCGCCUGUGUUUAGGGCACAACUUUUUGGUCCUAUGAAGGAACAGAAUACAAAGCAGAUAAAAGUUGAAGAUAUUGAAGCUCCGGUUUUUAAGGUUCAUUCAAAUACCCCUCUUCUUAUGUUGGACAAGAACUCAUGCUACUUCUUGACCAAUGAUAAUGCAUUGGUGAUGGAUGCAAAGCAUUAACCUGCUGUGGAUAGCAUACACUGCCUAGGAUGCAUCAUGUCAACUCCAUUGAUAGCAUGCCUGAUGUUAAUAAUUAGUUGGAAACUUCUCCAUGCAAAUUAUAUGCUGGGGUGGCUGAUGCUUAUGCUUUUGAAGUCAAUUUGUGGCAUGUACUGUCUUAAUCUUUUAGUUAAUUGCUUCAUAUAACGCACAUGUAGAUCGUCAAUGGCUAUACACAAAAGUACAUUCCUGAAUGUGCAUUUCUUUACCUUUCUAAAAAUAAUGAUAUUCGAGCUUUAUUUGAAGGCUACAAAAUAUUUUACUCGUCAAGCUAAAGCAAUGUGACUAUAUAAAGUACGCUAUGGUCCGGGUUACUGAUACAGUAUUAUCUCUAUUGACUAUUCCUUAUCUUGCGCUUUGCAGGCCCUACUUCACUUUAUGUACUGGGAUUCUCUACCUGACAUGCAAGAGCUCACUGGUCUCGACUCCAAGUGGGUGACUACAUUGAUGUCUCAGCAUCUGCUUGCUGCCGCAGAUAGGUAUGGACUAGAAAGGUUGCGAUUGCUCUGUGAGUCCAAUCUUUGUGAGGAUGUUACCAUUAACACUGCGGCAACUACAUUAGCCUUGGCCGAACAGCACCAUUGUUUCCAGUUGAAAGCUGUGUGUCUCAAGUUCGUUGCAGUGCCAGAAAAUCUAAGAGGUGAGUGUCUCUUUAUGUUUUGAUAUGUACAUCAAUGUUGAAUUAGGGCUAUCCAUGCCCGAAAAUAAUUGCUUUUAGAUAGAAUGCAUAGCAAGUUAUCAUAUAGCUAUUCUUAAGUUUGUCUUCUUGUUAUGGGUCAUAAAUGCCACAGCUAUUCUCACAUAGAAGUCCCAUAUAGCCGGAUUGUGUCUUAGCCCUCGGGAUAUUAUGCAAUCAUUCUUCAUGCAAUUGAACAAAACACGACCUUAGGGUUUUCUAUCUCGAGCUUUUAUCAUAUAUUGUCGAACCUGAAACCCUUCAUUCAAGUACAGCUAUUCUGAAUGUCUCAUUUGGGAUUUCAUCAAGUCAUACAACUGCAAUUGCACUUUGGUUUAUACCAUCAUCAACAUCCAUAAUCUUUACAAGAUUCAUCCAACUCUUAGGUUUCUCUUGACUGAACCCCCAGCGUUUUUCUUUUGUCUUGGGCAGCUGUAAUGCAAACAGAUGGUUUCGUGUACUUAAAGGAAAGUUGCCCAUCUGUCAUGACCGAGCUGUUGGAGUAUGUGGCUAGAGUGAUUGAGCACUCGAUGUAUGUAUGCAAACAUGGGAUUGAACCCAUCUUUGAUGGAAGUGAUGCAAAUGGUAGGAGGGUGAAGCAACGGCUAUAGCUACAGCUUGGUACAGUUUCCUUACUAAUUAAAAGUAAAAUAAGAAAGAAGAAGAUAUGAAUGACCAAAAAUAGAUGAAAAUACAAUUGGAUUAGAAGAAUUCCUUUUUUUUUUUAAUUUUAUUUCAGUGUUGUAAGCUUGGGUAUUUGUAAGAGAUGUAAAUUUAGUUGUUCCUAUGGUUGCUCUGUAUUGGGAAGUGAUAUUUCCUCAUUAUAUAUUUGCGUUGUAGUUGUGUUUCAUCUUUAAAAUAUUUAUAUAUAACUUAUAAUAGGAUCUAAAUUUGUAUGUUUAAUAAUGCCUUUUAAUUGUAUUAUUAGGUCUACUUCAUUCAAUAUAUGUAUAUCAAAGUACAGAAAAAGGGGGCCAAAUAACCCCAAAUACAAAUCUGAAGAAAAACGAUAUGAAUGUCUGACCAAAAUGAAGUCAUAUCGGAUGAAAACAUGAGGGUAGCCUUUGUAUUGUAAAACUCGGAGUCUCCGGCGGUCGUAUAUUAGUGGCCUGUGGAAAAAUAAAGACAAAAGGUGUGAAGCUAAGUGGUGAUGAGAGGGGAAAAAAGAAAUGGUGAAGACGCGUGGUUGACACUGAGGUCGUAUUUGAACUCUGAUAGAAAUCAUAACAUUUCGAGAAUGAAUUAUGAUCCACGUGUGAUAGCAUAGAAAAUUAAAAAUUGAAUUAAAUAAUGCAUUAACGCAACAAUUAUAUCUUUUUUAACACUCGUAAUAUCAAAAAUCUCAAUCUCUACUUACAAGUUAAGCAAUUAAUUGGUGGGCGUCCACCCCCACCGUGUCUUAAAACAUUAACGAGCUCCUGCUCCCCGUGCCAUUUGUCACCUUCUCAUGCUUCUUAUAUGCUUCCCCAUUGAAAUCGCCGCCGUCCUCAUCCUCAUCCUCCUCUUCCUCCACCUCCUCGCAGUUUUCUUCUUCCGACGACAGUGGCACUAGCCAACAAGUCCCAUGCAAGUGGCCGUUCACGCAAACGAAAUACUCCAACCUCCCGUCACGUGACCCGAGUCGCCGGGCGGCGCUCUUGGGAACGAGCCGAGCCGCCGUCAUGCUCCAAACUCGGGUCCCGCAGUAAGGACACCUAACCCGGUCGUCGAACGCUACUUGCCGUCCGAUCAAGCAGGCUCGUGUGUUGGACCUGAGAAAUCCCCGGAAUACCCCUCGGUAGAUCCCUAAAUCGUCUUCUUUAUCCCCCACUGGGUGCUCACACGGGUCACUGACGAACAACAGAUCCGCCCGACAUUUUUUGGUCAAGAAGCUCCGACCCGAAGUCUUCGAGAACCGAGACGCACCCGCGAAAUGACCCGGAGAAGACCGACUCAGUUUGAAAUUGCGAGUCGACUCACAACCACAACAGAAAAACAUGAGCUUCGCGAGAGCAUCCCAUCCACCACCUAUUCUUCCACUAGGUGAGCCAUUAACCAAUGCCGAUACCAUGCGAGGCGCUCGAUAUACACAGAGCUUCCGCCAUAAUAACCGUUUCGCUAUAGCUCGAAGCUUACGGUUGACUGAAGCGGUCAAACAAAGGACCUGCAAAUCCCAUUUUAUUGACUCGAAAACGAGUAACAGUACACACUCGUUGAGUAUCCCCGAGUCAUCCGACUCGGUUUCUUGACUCAGUGGAUUAAGUCUUCGUCUCUGGGCGGCACUCAUUUCUAUUAGGGGGCGGAGGAGGAUCGGGGGAUAGCGAUGGUAAUUUAAAAGCGCCUAAAUACCAGUGUCUGAAACUCGAGCGAAAGACACGUGUCCAAAUGGAAAUGGAUAGUCUAUUGCCCUAGAUCAUGGGACACGUGGUGUGAUAUCAUUGGAAAGCUUCGACGCGUGGUGGAUUUGUAUUGCGCGAUGCAGGUGAUCGAGGAUCGAGAAUAACGUCAGCUGGUAAAUUGAGAUGUCAGGAUCAGCCUCCACGUGUCCAAUGAUUUCCCCGAAAUACGAGAUAUCUUUUUCAUGCCUCGAAAAUAUCUAGAUGGCUCAAACUUCAACGUGUUGAAUACAAGUUGAGUGCUCUUUUCUUUUCCUAAAUAAAAAAUAAUUUAGUUUGAUUUUUUUGGUUAAAUAAUAUUUUAUUCUUGAAUUUAUUAUUUAUGUCUUUUUUUUAAUGGAUAAUAUUAUAACCAAAUAAAAUAACUUCAAAAAAAUCUAUACUAUAAAUUAAUAAACAUAAUGUAGAGAAAAUGAUAUGAUUGUCUAUAAGUGGUAAAAGCACCUUCUACUUUUAGAGAUAAAUUUAGAUUAAAAUUCCAACUAGAAAUGAUAAUCACAAAUCUUUAAAAAAAAUUCAUCUUUACUAAAGUAAAACGUGAUGGAUUGAUUGCUCAGGUGAAGGUGAAAUCUUCAACGGCAAAGUUUUCUGAAAUUUCACUACUUAUGUUAAAUGACAAUAAUUUCAAAUCGCACACUUUUAAUAUGGAUUUUAAUAAGUUAAAAUAUAUCAUAAAUCUUUAUACUUAAUUAAUUUAUAUAAUAUUAAGGGGAUUUUUGAAAUAAUAUGAUUUUUUUUUUACAAAAAUAAUAUGAACUUUGCAUGAAAAUCCUAAAUUUAUAUGGCGGCAUGGCGAUUGUGAAUUUAAAAUUACAGGAAUUCUAUGUUUCUUUUUAAUACAAUCAUUAUCUUGUAGUCACUCAAAAUCAAUAGCCACCUUAAUGAUUUAGGAUUCUCGUGUAUAGUCCGUGUUAUUUUGAUAAUUAAAAUUUUCAUAUUAUUUCAAUAAAUUUUUUUUUCAUAUUAUUAGAAAAGGUCAAAAAAAAAUAGCUUAAAUUAUUUUGUAAGAGGAGAAAUAGUGGUGGGAUGACACGUGGAAACAUAUUAACAGACCGCGUGUUUGCUUCCAUUUAUGAAACGAUAGCUGUUGAUAAAAAAGGAAGCGGGAAAAGGCUUAUUUGACUCGUGAUCAGCACGUGGAUUGAAGAUUCUAAUUAUGGAUUGAAGUGAUAAUUCUAAAUAAUAAUAUAUUAAAAUACAAGAAACUUAAUUAAAAAUAAUUAUAAUAUGAUACUUAUAUAAACAAUACAAUUAAUACAGAUGUGAUAUCAAUAUAUAAAUAUUUUAAAAUUUAAGAGAAAUUAUACAAAUGGUCAUUUAAUUGUACUUGCGUUCCUGUUUUGAUCACUUAGCUUUAAAAAAUUUCAAUGUAGACACUAAUAUUUAAAUUUAUUCCUAUUUUUGUCACCUGUCAUUAAAUUGUUCUAACUAGUAUAAUAACACAUUCAGUCCUUAAUAUUUACAUAUUAUAUCAAUUUGAUCUUAUUGCCAAAUCAUUCAAUAAAUAUAACUUUUUACACUUAUAAAUUCUAUCAAUUUAAUCCUCAAACUUUCUAACUAAAUGUUUCAGCUUUUAAAAUAAAAAAAAAAAACAUUCUGCAUCAAUAAAUUUGUACCAAAACAAAUUCUGCAAUAAACAAGUGGUAAAAAGCUCUAUAUUGGUAUUAAAAGUAACUCAAUAUUUUCUUUUCUAAUUUACAAUAUUCAAAUUUAAAUAUUUAAAUAUUAAAAUUUUAUCAGUUAACUAAAUAAAUAUAUGAUCUGUAUGCAACGUAAUGGAUAUCCCAUGAAAAAGGGACACCCUUUUUGUCUUAAGUACAAUUUUAUUAAUAGGGUUAUUUAAAGCUAUAUUUCUUCAAGGUUUAAUUGUGUCCAUACAACCCUUCUUAACAGGUCUCCUUAACAUUCAAAUGAAAUCUUUGAUGACUGAUUCAAUAAUCAAAAAGUUGUUGGUUGUAGAUGAGUAAUUUCGAAAAUUUGUCGAUAAAGGAAUUGGUUUGAAAAGUGCUCAUUAGUUGGUUUUAUAAAUUUAUAGACUUGUUGAAUUUUAAUUAAGAAUGUAAGUAUUGUGAACUAAAUAUGUUAUUAUACUAUUUUAAAAAUAAUUUUUUAUUAUCAAUUUAACUACGAAUGACUAAAAUAAGAGUUAAUUCAAAUAUUAGUGCCUAAAUUAAAAAAAUUUAAAGUUGAAUGACAAAGCAGGAAGUUGGAGAUCAUUUGUAUAGUUUAACUUAAAUUUCACAUUACCAAAUUUAUAUAAAUAAAAAAAUAAUAUUAAAAAAAAAGAUAUUUAUUUGUAUUUUUUUAAUGAAUUAUAAUAAUAGAAUAAAGUUCGAAUAAUAAAUGAAACUCGAACCCAUGUAACACCUAUAAUUAUUAUUAAAAACAAAAACAAGAGUGAGGAGUUAGCGAAGCUAAACUAACUUUUUAUGUUGGUUGGGAUAGGAGCAAUUUAUUACAUUAUGAGGUUCGAGCAGCUUUUCAGCAUAAAUGGGUGCCCACUCAUUUAUAGCUCAUAAAUAGAUUCUUUACCUUUUUCCGAGCUAUAAGUUAUGAUUUUGAUUUUUUUUAUUACUAGUUGAUUAACGUAAAAUAUAAAUAUAAAAAUAAUAAAAUUAAACAGUUUAGUGAUUAUUUAUAAUUAAGAGAUAAAAAAGAAUAGUUGGAUAAUCUCUACGGUAGUUUAUCCUUAAAAUAUUAAAAAAUAAUUUAUUUGACAGUUUAAUUAAUUUUUUAGUCUAGAUAAAUUAAUUUGUACCAAUUUUCAAAUUAAUUAGCUCAAAAUAAUUCGAUGAAUCAAUUUUCAAUCCAAUCAACUAACUUAGAGAAAAGUAUUAAAUUAACUGAAUUUUUAAUUCUUUUUUAUAAAAUAUAAUGAUUUAUUUAAUUGGACCAACAUAUCAAUAACUUAAUUGACCAGAAAAAUGAAUGAAUCCGAGGCAACAAACCUCUGCUAAAUUCUAUCCCAACCCUCUUAUAAUAACCCUCCGUAUGAUUGUAUCAACAAUCUUUUAUUUCUAAUUUAGCGAAAUUAUAUUGAUAUAAUUAGUGCAUAUUUUAAAUAAUAUCAAGUCAUCUUUUAAAAAAUAUAUAUUAAUUAAUUAUGAAUUGCAUCCCUUGAUUUAAAAAAAAAUUAAUAGCAAGAUUUAAUACUAUUAUUUAAUUAAACUAACAUUUCAAUUUUGGAUUAAUUUUUUAGUAAAAACUAAAAAAGGAUGGAUUUUAUAAUUAGAGCAAAAAAUGUGGGCACAGCUUCGGCAGAUCGCUUAGCCCCGUUCAUCUUCGGCGCAAGAGCGCUCGAUCAGUGAGCUAUUACGCACUCUUUCAAGGGUGGCUGCUUCUAGGCAAACCUCCUGGCUGUCUCUGCACCCCUACCUCCUUUAUCACUGAGCGGUCAUUUAGGGGCCUUAGCUGGUGAUCCGGGCUGUUUCCCUCUCGACGAUGAAGCUUAUCCCCCAUCGUCUCACUGGCCGACCUCAACCCCUAUUAUUUU
rnacentral:lncRNA from 1 species